CAGGAACACCGGUUCCUGUACGAUCGCCGAAGUUAAGCAACAUUGAACCUGGCCAGUGCCUAGACGGAUAAUCGCUUGGGAAUACCAGGUGCUGUAAG